rnacentral:rRNA from 1 species
CUCCGGUUGAUCCUGCCGGACCUGACUGCUAUCGGAUUGGUACUAAGCCAUGCGAGUCGUUGUAGCAAUACAAGGCGGACGGCUCAGUAACACGUAGUCAACCUAACCUAUGGACGUGGAUAACCUCGGGAAACUGAGAAUAAACCGCGAUAGAUCAUUAUGCCUGGAAUGGCUUAUGGUUCAAACAAUUUAUUGCCGUAGGAUGGGACUGCGGCCUAUCAGCUUGUUGGUGAGGUAAUGGCCCACCAAGGCUAUAACAGGUACGGGCUCUGAGAGGAGAAGCCCGGAGAUGGGUACUGAGACACGGACCCAGGCCCUAUGGGGCGCAGCAGGCGAGAAACCUUAGCAAUGUGCGAAAGCACGACUAGGUUAAUCCGAGUGAUUUCUGUUGAAGAAAUCUUUUGUCAGUCGUAAAACCACAGACGAAUAAGGGGUGGGCAAGUCUGGUGUCAGCCGCCGCGGUAAUACCAGCACCUCGAGUGGUCAGGAGGUUUAUUGGGCCUAAAGCAUCCGUAGCCGGCUACGCAAGUCUCCGGUUAAAUCCAGCUGCUCAACAGAUGGGCUGCCGGAGAUACUACAUAGCUAGGGAGCGGGAGAGGUAGACGGUAUUCUGUGGGUAGGGGUAAAAUCCACUGAUCCAUAGAGGACCACCAGUGGCGAAGGCGGUCUACCAGAACGCGUUCGACGGUGAGGGAUGAAAGCUGGGGGAGCAAACCGGAUUAGAUACCCGGGUAGUCCCAGCUGUAAACGAUGCAGACUCGGUGAUGCAUUGGCUUAUGGCCAAUGCAGUGCCGCAGGGAAGCCGUUAAGUUUGCCGCCUGGGAAGUACGGACGCAAGUCUGAAACUUAAAGAAUUGGCGGGGGAGCA